rnacentral:rRNA from 1 species
AGAGUUUGAUCCUGGCUCAGAUUGAACGCUGGCGGCAUGCCUUACACAUGCAAGUCGAACGGUAACGCGGGGGCAACCCUGGCGACGAGUGGCGAACGGGUGAGUAAUACAUCGGAACAUAUCCAGUAGCGGGGGAUAACCUAUCGAAAGAUGGACUAAUACCGCAUACGAUCUACGGAUGAAAGCAGGGGACCGCAAGGCCUUGCACUAUUGGAGUGGCCGAUGUCGGAUUAGCUAGUUGGUGAGGUAAAGGCUACCAAGGCGACGAUCCGUAGCUGGUCUGAGAGGACGAUCAGCCACACUGGAACUGAGACACGGUCCAGACUCCUACGGGAGGCAGCAGUGGGGAAUUUUGGACAAUGGGCGCAAGCCUGAUCCAGCCAUGCCGCGUGAGUGAAGAAGGCCUUCGGGUUGUAAAGCUCUUUCGGUGAAGACGAAACGGUUAGCGCUAAUAACGCUGACUAAUGACGGUACUCACAGAAGAAGCACCGGCUAACUACGUGCCGGCAGCCGCGGUAAUACGUAGGGUGCAGGCGUUAAUCGGAAUUACUGGGCGUAAAGCGUGCGCAGGCGGUUUGCUAAGACAGGUGUGAAAUCCCCGAGCUUAACUUGGGAAUUGCGCUUGUAACUGGCAAGCUAGAGUGUGGCAGAGGGGGGUGGAAUUCCACGUGUAGCAGUGAAAUGCGUAGAUAUGUGGAGGAACACCGAUGGCGAAGGCAGCCCCCUGGGUUAACACUGACGCUCAUGCACGAAAGCGUGGGGAGCAAACAGGAUUAGAUACCCUGGUAGUCCACGCCCUAAACUAUGUCAACUAGUUGUCGGGGAAGAAAUUCCUUGGUAACGAAGCUAACGCGUGAAGUUGACCGCCUGGGGAGUACGGCCGCAAGGUUAAAACUCAAAGGAAUUGACGGGGACCCGCACAAGCGGUGGAUUAUGUGGAUUAAUUCGAUGCAACGCGAAAAACCUUACCUACCCUUGACAUGCUAGGAAGCCCGCAGAGAUGUGGGUGUGCCCGAAAGGGAACCUAGACACAGGUGCUGCAUGGCUGUCGUCAGCUCGUGUCGUGAGAUGUUGGGUUAAGUCCCGCAACGAGCGCAACCCUUGCCAUUAGUUGCUACAUUCAGUUGGGCACUCUAAUGGGACCGCCGGUGACAAACCGGAGGAAGGUGGGGAUGGCGUCAAGUCCUCAUGGCCCUUAUGGGUAGGGCUUCACACGUAAUACAAUGGUCGGUACAGAGGGCUGCCAACCCGCAAGGGGGAGCUAAUCCCAGAAAGCCGAUCGUAGUCCGGAUUGUAGUCAGCAACUCGACUGCAUGAAGCCGGAAUCGCUAGUAAUCGCGGAUCAGCAUGUCGCGGUGAAUACGUUCCCGGGUCUUGUACACACCGCCCGUCACACCAUGGGAGUGGGUUCCACCAGAAGUAGUUAGCCUAACCGCAAGGAGGGCGAUUACCACGGUGAGAUUCAUGACUGGGGUGAAGUCGUAACAAGGUA